CCAAUAGCGUAUAUUAAAGUUGUUGCAGUUAAAAAGCUCGUAGUUGAAUUUCGGGGUCAGUAGGUUGGUCAUGCCACUGGUAUGUACUGGUCUCACUGAUUCCUCCUUCCUGAUGAACUGUAAUGCCAUUAAUUUGGUGUUGCAGGGAAUCUGGACUGUUACUUUGAAAAAAUUAGAGUGUUUAAAGCAGGCUAACGCCUGAAUACAUUAGCAUGGAAUAAUGAAAUAGGACGUUCGAUCCUAUUUUGUUGGUUUCUAGGAUUGACGUAAUGAUUAAUAGGGAUAGUUGGGGGCAUUAGUAUUCAAUUGUCAGAGGUGAAAUUCUUGGAUUUAUUGAAGACUAACUACUGCGAAAGCAUUUGCCAAGGAUGUUUUCAUUAAUCAAGAACGAAAGUUAGGGGAUCGAAGACGAUCAGAUACCGUCGUAGUCUUAACCAUAAACUAUGCCGACUAGGGAUCGGAUGAUGUUAAUUUUUUAAUGACUCAUUCGGCGCCUUGCA
rnacentral:rRNA from 1 species